UCGUGUUACUGAUAAAUAAAAAAAACAAAAUGAAUAUUUAUUUACAAUUAAUAUUCAUAUUUAAUUUAUUAGUAAAUUUCACAACUACAAUACAAAGUCAAGCUGCUCAAUGUCCUGCAAAUGAAUUAUACUAUAAUGUUCCAUCGCCCAUGUGUGAUGCAAAUUGUCAGAAUUUACAACGUCGUUGUCCUUUAACCUCUAUACGGCCAGUGGCUGGUUGUUAUUGUCGACCAAAUUAUGCUCGUAAUUUGCAACAAAGAUGUAUAGCCCAACAUGAGUGUGGUGGAGUUUUAAAAAUUUAGAGAUUGUGACUGUAAUGAAUUACCGAUUAAGCCUUCAUUGUCUAGAUGUGAACAGAUUUGUCCUACUUCUCCCACUGAUUUUCGUUUGUCCAUUUGUUAUCACAUUCAAGAAAGACGCUGCGUUUGUGCUGCACAGUUUUGCCGCAAUCAACGUGGUCAAUGUGUACAAAAUAUUUAACAAAAUUUAAAAAAAUAGUUUUUUGUUUAAUAAAAAAUGGAUGUUAAAUAAUAAAA